rnacentral:misc_RNA from 1 species
GAAAUGCGGUAAUCACAUUGUACCUCUCCAGAUGUAUCACUGACAUUAUCAUGUUUGCUUGAUAUCCUUGAGACAUCAGUUGACGCUGAGGGAAGAUAUUCAAUACUGGAAACAGCACUUGAUACCGAUUCACUCCGGCUGUGAAUAUAGGAAAUCCCUGGGGAUGUGUGGCCAGAUUUUUCAGCCUCCCUGAUACGGCAUGCACUAAAUUCUUCUUCACUUAAUUCGGAUGUGCAAUCAACCUUUUCAAAAGCUUGUCCACCUUGAUGACAAAGUCUUGACAUUGAAUUGCUGGUAUCUGAGGAACCUCGCACAUCGUCCAUAUCAGUAAGGUGUACAGGAUUAGAUGUGAUUCCAUCAUGAGUGGACUCAGGGUUCCCAUUAAGCCUCACUU